GUCGGAGCUGGUGGAAUGUGGCGUGGUAAUGCAAAGGGGGGAAACGUUGCUCGGAAGCGUUGGGCGUAAAGCGCACGUAGGCGGCAUUGCAAGUCGGAUGUGAAAGCCCUCGGCUUAACCAAGGAAGUGCAUCCGAAACUGCCGUGCUUGAGGACGAAAGAGGAUCGCGGAAUUCCCGGUGUAGAGGUGAAAUUCGUAGAUAUCGGGAGGAACACCAGUGGCGAAGGCGGCGAUCUGGGUCGAUACUGACGCUGAGGUGCGAAAGCGUGGGGAGCAAACAGGAUUAGAUACCCUUGUAGC
rnacentral:rRNA from 1 species